UUAAGCGACUAAGCGUACACGGUGGAUGCCCUGGCAGUCAGAGGCGAUGAAGGACGUGCUAAUCUGCGAAAAGCGUCGGUAAGGUGAUAUGAACCGUUAUAACCGGCGAUGUCCGAAUGGGGAAACCCAGUGUGAUUCGUCACACUAUCGUUAACUGAAUACAUAGGUUAACGAGGCGAACCGGGGGAACUGAAACAUCUAAGUACCCCGAGGAAAAGAAAUCAACCGAGAUUCCCCCAGUAGCGGCGAGCGAACGGGGAGCAGCCCAGAGUCUGAAUCAGCUUGUGUGUUAGUGGAACGGUCUGGAAAGUCCGACGGUACAGGGUGAUAGUCCCGUACACCAAAAUGCACAGGUUGUGAACUCGAAGAGUAGGGCGGGACACGUGGUAUCCUGUCUGAAUAUGGGGGGACCAUCCUCCAAGGCUAAAUACUCCUGACUGACCGAUAGUGAACCAGUACCGUGAGGGAAAGGCGAAAAGAACCCCGGCGAGGGGAGUGAAAAAGAACCUGAAACCGUGUACGUACAAGCAGUGGGAGCACCUUCGGGUGUGACUGCGUACCUUUUGUAUAAUGGGUCAGCGACUUAUAUUCUGUAGCAAGGUUAACCGUAUAGGGGAGCCGCAGGGAAACCGAGUCUUAACUGGGCGUUAAGUUGCAGGGUAUAGACCCGAAACCCGGUGAUCUAGCCAUGGGCAGGUUGAAGGUUGGGUAACACUAACUGGAGGACCGAACCGACUAAUGUUGAAAAAUUAGCGGAUGACUUGUGGCUGGGGGUGAAAGGCCAAUCAAACCGGGAGAUAGCUGGUUCUCCCCGAAAGCUAUUUAGGUAGCGCCUCGUGAACUCAUCUUCGGGGGUAGAGCACUGUUUCGGCUAGGGGGUCAUCCCGACUUACCAACCCGAUGCAAACUACGAAUACCGAAGAAUGUUAUCACGGGAGACACACGGCGGGUGCUAACGUCCGUCGUGAAGAGGGAAACAACCCAGACCGCCAGCUAAGGUCCCAAAGUCAUGGUUAAGUGGGAAACGAUGUGGGAAGGCACAGACAGCCAGGAUGUUGGCUUAGAAGCAGCCAUCAUUUAAAGAAAGCGUAAUAGCUCACUGGUCGAGUCGGCCUGCGCGGAAGAUGUAACGGGGCUAAACCAUGCACCGAAGCUGCGGCAGCGACACUAUGUGUUGUUGGGUAGGGGAGCGUUCUGUAAGCCUGCGAAGGUGACCUGUGAGGGUUGCUGGAGGUAUCAGAAGUGCGAAUGCUGACAUAAGUAACGAUAAAGCGGGUGAAAAGCCCGCUCGCCGGAAGACCAAGGGUUCCUGUCCAACGUUAAUCGGGGCAGGGUGAGUCGACCCCUAAGGCGAGGCCGAAAGGCGUAGUCGAUGGGAAACAGGUUAAUAUUCCUGUACUUGGUGUUACUGCGAAGGGGGGACGGAGAAGGCUAUGUUAGCCGGGCGACGGUUGUCCCGGUUUAAGCAUGUAGGCUGAUUGUCCAGGCAAAUCCGGAUAAUCAAGGCUGAGGUGUGAUGACGAGGCACUACGGUGCUGAAGUAACAAAUGCCCUGCUUCCAGGAAAAGCCUCUAAGCAUCAGGUAACAUCAAAUCGUACCCCAAACCGACACAGGUGGUCAGGUAGAGAAUACCAAGGCGCUUGAGAGAACUCGGGUGAAGGAACUAGGCAAAAUGGUGCCGUAACUUCGGGAGAAGGCACGCUGGUGUGUAGGUGAAGUCCCUGCGGAUGGAGCUGAGACCAGUCGAAGAUACCAGCUGGCUGCAACUGUUUAUUAAAAACACAGCACUGUGCAAACACGAAAGUGGACGUAUACGGUGUGACGCCUGCCCGGUGCCGGAAGGUUAAUUGAUGGGGUUAUCCGUAAGGAGAAGCUCUUGAUCGAAGCCCCGGUAAACGGCGGCCGUAACUAUAACGGUCCUAAGGUAGCGAAAUUCCUUGUCGGGUAAGUUCCGACCUGCACGAAUGGCGUAAUGAUGGCCAGGCUGUCUCCACCCGAGACUCAGUGAAAUUGAACUCGCUGUGAAGAUGCAGUGUACCCGCGGCAAGACGGAAAGACCCCGUGAACCUUUACUAUAGCUUGACACUGAACAUUGAGCCUUGAUGUGUAGGAUAGGUGGGAGGCUUUGAAGCGUGGACGCCAGUCUGCGUGGAGCCAACCUUGAAAUACCACCCUUUAAUGUUUGAUGUUCUAACGUUGGCCCCUUACCGGGGUUGCGGACAGUGUCUGGUGGGUAGUUUGACUGGGGCGGUCUCCUCCCAAAGCGUAACGGAGGAGCACGAAGGUUAGCUAAUCCUGGUCGGACAUCAGGAGGUUAGUGCAAUGGCAUAAGCUAGCUUGACUGCGAGCGUGACGGCGCGAGCAGGUGCGAAAGCAGGUCAUAGUGAUCCGGUGGUUCUGAAUGGAAGGGCCAUCGCUCAACGGAUAAAAGGUACUCCGGGGAUAACAGGCUGAUACCGCCCAAGAGUUCAUAUCGACGGCGGUGUUUGGCACCUCGAUGUCGGCUCAUCACAUCCUGGGGCUGAAGUAGGUCCCAAGGGUAUGGCUGUUCGCCAUUUAAAGUGGUACGCGAGCUGGGUUUAGAACGUCGUGAGACAGUUCGGUCCCUAUCUGCCGUGGGCGCUGGAGAAUUGAGGGGGGCUGCUCCUAGUACGAGAGGACCGGAGUGGACGCAUCACUGGUGUUCGGGUUGUCAUGCCAAUGGCACUGCCCGGUAGCUAAAUGCGGAAGAGAUAAGUGCUGAAAGCAUCUAAGCACGAAACUUGCCCCGAGAUGAGUUCUCCCUGAGACUUUAAGUCUCCUGAAGGAACGUUAAAGACGAUGACGUUGAUAGGCCGGGUGUGUAAGCGCAGCGAUGCGUUGAGCUAACCGGUACUAAUGAACCGUGAGGCUUAACCUU
rnacentral:rRNA from 1 species